AUUGAACGCUGGCGGCAGGCUUAACACAUGCAAGUCGAGCGGGGUGAUGGUGCUUGCACUAUCACUUAGCGGCGGACGGGUGAGUAAUGCUUAGGAAUCUGCCUAUUAGUGGGGGACAACAUCUCGAAAGGGAUGCUAAUACCGCAUACGUCCUACGGGAGAAAGCAGGGGACCACUUGUGACCUGGCGCUAAUGGAUGAGCCUAAGUGGGAUUCGCUAGUGGGUGGGGUAAAGGCCUACCAAGGCGACGAUCUGUAGCGGGUCUGAGAGGAUCAUCCGCCACACUGGGACUGGGGAAAGGCCCAGACUCCUACGGGAGGCAGGAGUGGUGAAUAUUGGACAAUUGGGGGAACCCUGAUCCAGCCAGGCCGCGUGUGUGAAGAAGGCCUUAUGGUUGUAAAGCACUUUAAGCGAGGAGGAGGCUCUUUUGGUUAAUACCCAAGAUGAGUGGACGUUACUCGCAGAAUAAGCACCGGCUAACUCUGUGCCAGCAGCCGCGGUAA
rnacentral:rRNA from 1 species